rnacentral:rRNA from 1 species
UGGGGAAUUUUGGACAAUGGGCGAAAGCCUGAUCCAGCAAUGCCGCGUGUGUGAAGAAGGCCUUCGGGUUGUAAAGCACUUUUGUCCGGGAAAGAAAUCCUUGGCUCUAAUACAGUCGGGGGAUGACGGUACCGGAAGAAUAAGCACCGGCUAACUACGUGCCAGCAGCCGCGGUAAUACGUAGGGUGCAAGCGUUAAUCGGAAUUACUGGGCGUAAAGCGUGCGCAGGCGGUUUGCUAAGACCGAUGUGAAAUCCCCGGGCUCAACCUGGGAACUGCAUUGGUGACUGGCAGGGCUAGAGUAUGGCAGAGGGGGGUAGAAUUCCACGUGUAGCAGUGAAAUGCGUAGAGAUGUGGAGGAAUACCGAUGGCGAAGGCAGCCCCCUGGGCCAAAUACUGACGCUCAUGCACGAAAGCGUGGGGGAGCAAACAGGAUUCAGAUACCCUGGUAGUCCAGCGCCCUAAACGAUGUCAACUAGUUGUUGGGGAUUCAAUUUCCUUAGUAACGUAGCUAACGCGU